AAAUAAUAUUAAAAGCACAGAGGAAACAGAUUCCCUAUCAGUGGAAUAUACAUCAGGUUGACUUUAGACUUCAGAUAAAAAUCUGCAAUACUUGUUGGAAAAAUACAGUGAAGCAACAGCUUCAAAUUUCUGGGAGAAAAUAAUGUUGAACCUAAAACUCUAAACUCAAGUAAACUCUCAUUCUGGUGUGGGGGCUUGUCCUUUGUGUUCCUGUCCCAUUUCCCAAUGUGGUCAUUUAACAGAAAAAGUACAGAACCAGGUGCCAGGAUUCUGAGGCUGUGUGGCCCUGGGCAAGUGUUUUCAUCCAUCUGGGCAUAGUUUCUUCUUCCUGAAAAUGGAGGUAACAUCCUUGCCUGAUGAAUUUUAAUGAGACAAACAGUGAGAAAUGUGUGGGAGCAUCUAAUGCAAUGACUAGAGGGAGACUCUACAUUCUCCUUAACCCACCCCCUGUGCUCCAGAGCCUUGUUCCCCUGGUCCUCAGACCCCAGGCUUGGAUUUGAUCUAAAUUAUUGCUUGGUGUUUGGGCCAGUACUGGUGUUUCCUUCAGGUUCAGUCCCUUCCCUGGGCAGUAUUCAGUGGGCUUUCCCAUGUGGGGAGAUAAGAGGCUUCUUGCAGGUUCUGAUAAUGACUAGACAGAGGUAGACGAUGCCUCUCAAGGAUGGAGAGUGGCCACCUCCACUGCCUCUAUCUAGGGUGGGCCCUAAGGACCAGAGGGGCCCUUUCCACACCCUGGAGAGCCCUACACUUUGGUCCACUGUCUGGUUAGCCUGGAAUUUUUUUUACAAGCUCCGGAUUGGCCUCUGUCCAAAUUGUGCCCCUAAAUAACUGUUAGGUGACUUUGGACAACCCUCGGAUCUUUGUUUCUUAAUUUAUAAGAUGGAGAAAUCUGUACUCAUGGAUCUCAAAGGUAUCUUUCAAGUCAAAACCUCAUAGAAUUUUGGACUCUUCUAAUGGAAUCUGAGUCAUAAUGGCAUCAAGCAAAGAAAGAAUGCAGAACACUGACCCCAGCAUUUCUCAGCUGAGAGCCAUGCAGAGGAAGCUGCCCUGUCUUCCUGCUCCACCUCCUCUUCAUCACACUUCUCCCCUUGCCCCAGCUCAGCUUUCCGCUCCCUCCCUUCCUCCUGUCCUGCCUCUUGUCCCUAUGACUUCCCAGUCUCUUGGCCCUGUGCCUACCUCAGUCACCAGUUACUCAGCCCAAACUGGUCCUCUUCCUACCUCAUGCCCAGACUGGCUCCCUCCUCUUUCCGGUUCUGCCCCCUGCCACCUCCCUGCCUGGGUCACCUCCAGCCUGGCCUGUCCCUCUGCCCCUCCUACCACCUGCCUUCCUCCCCUCCCUCUCCCUUCCAUUCACUGCCCCUUCCGACUUGCUCCCCUCUUCUCCCGCACCCCUCCCUCACCCGUUGUACCUCCUCCUCACCCUGCCUCUCCCCACACCUGCAUGGGCCUUGGGCCCAGAUAAGCCUCCCCAGCUCCUGCUAGCACAUCUGCCCCAACCAGCCCUCACCAGACCUGAUUCCCACUCUCCAUCAUGGGGCCAUGUGUUUCUACCAGUGGGGCACCUGGCACAUCCCAGAACUCUUGGGAAUGAGGUAUGCAGCAUCCUGGUGACCUGGUGGACAUGGGGGACAUUGGAUGAUGACCAGCAGGCAUGUAACCUGGAGGGGCACCUCCCUCAGUGGACACUUCAUCUUUCCUGAUAAACAGCUGAAAGUGGAAUUGCUGGGUCUUGGGGUGGGAGAGGAAAUCUAGAGGACCCCAGAGAGGGGAAAAUGCCCUUCUCCAGGUGACUCUGGUUGUGUUUCCCUUGGAGAGUAAGCCUUUGCUACUGAGGAAGCUCUGGAGGUGCUUCAGAACUAUUUCUCUUUCCCUCCUCCUGAUAAAACCACUAGAUCUUUCUCAGAUCUUUACUGUGGGUACCCAGAGAGACAAACCCAUAUAAGUAUGCUGCCUUCCCAAGACCACAGCCCCCAGUUAUUUGUCAUUCUCAAAUUAGUCCACACUCAGCCUCCAUCGAUUUGUUAAUAUUAACACUUAAGCAUUCUCAUCAGUUUUUGGCUCCAGUGGGUUCUCCUGGUAAGCAUAUAUUAGCUCUAAUUCUCUAUAUGUGCUUGUCUCUCCAGAUUUCAAGGUAGCAGUUUGCCUUGAAACAUCAGUUCUGACAGGUCCAAGAAACAUCACUGAUUCUCCUUGCAUUCAUCUUAAAGAGAAUGUCAAAAUCAAGAACUGUCUUCAGAAAGCAACACAUAAAACCAUUUUCAAACUGACUUUAAUCAUUUUUUGCUGCCCAAAUACUGUACAUGCAGAAGCCAUGUGAAGAAUUUUCUCCUCAAGGGAAUUGGCAAGAAUGUUGUU